rnacentral:rRNA from 1 species
GGCUCAGAACGAACGCGGGCGGCGUGCCUAACACAUGCAAGUCGAACGAGAAGGGGGUAGCAAUACCCCCGGUAAAGUGGCGAACGGGUGAGUAACACGUGGGUAACCUGCCCUCGAGCUCGGAAUAACCCGCCGAAAGGCGGGCUAAUACCGGAUAAAGUCCCCGGACCUUCGGGACUGGGGAUCAAAGAUGGCCAAUGCUUGCAAGCUAUCACUUGAGGAGGGGCCCGCGGCCCAUUAGCUAGUUGGCGGGGUAAUGGCCCACCAAGGCGACGAUGGGUAGCCGGCCUGAGAGGGCGAUCGGCCACAUUGGAACUGAGACACGGUCCAGACUCCUACGGGAGGCAGCAGUGAGGAAUCUUGCGCAAUGGGCGAAAGCCUGACGCAGCAACGCCGCGUGGGUGAUGAAGGCCUUCGGGUCGUAAAACCCUGUCAGGUGGGAAGAACCGGGUGGGAGUGAAUAACUCCUACCCCUGACUGUACCACCAGAGGAAGCCCCGGCUAACUCCGUGCCAGCAGCCGCGGUAAUACGGAGGGGGCCAGCGUUGUUCGGAAUUGUUGGGCGUAAAGGGCGCGUAGGCGGCCGAGUAAGUCUGACGUGAAAUCCCUUGGCUCAACCAAGGAACUGCGUCUUAAACUGCUCGGCUUGAGUCCGGGAGAGGGUAGUGGAAUUCCCAGUGUAGUGGUGAAAUGCGUAGAUAUUGGGAGGAACACCGGUGGCGAAGGCGGCUACCUGGACCGGUACUGACGCUGAUGCGCGAAAGCUAGGGGAGCAAACAGGAUUAGAUACCCUGGUAGUCCUAGCUGUAAACGAUGGGCACUUGGUGUAGCGGGUAUCGACCCCUGCUGUGCCGAAGCUAACGCAUUAAGUGCCCCGCCUGGGGAGUACGGUCGCAAGGCUGAA